AACGAACGCUGGCGGCAGGCUUAACACAUGCAAGUCGAACGCCCCGCAAGGGGAGUGGCAGACGGGUGAGCAACACGUGGGAAUCUACCCAUCUCUACGGAACAACCCAGGGAAACUUGGACUAAUACCGUAUACGCCCUACGGGGGAAAGAUUUAUCGGAGAUGGAUGAGCCCGCGUUGGAUUGGCUAGUUGGUGGGGUAAAGGCCUACCAAGGCGACGAUCCAUAGCUGGUCUGAGAGGAUGAUCAGCCACACUGGGACUGAGACACGGCCCAGACUCCUACGGGAGGCAGCAGUGGGGAAUCUUGGACAAUGGGCGCAAGCCUGAUCCAGCCAUGCCGCGUGAGUGAUGAAGGCCCUAGGGUUGUAAAGCUCUUUUGCCAGGGACGAUAAUGACGGUACCUGGAGAAUAAGCCCCGGCUAACUUCGUGCCAGCCGCCGCGGUAACAC
rnacentral:rRNA from 1 species